GUAUUGUAUUGCGUUAAACGCGGCAUACAUUCCAUGAGACUUCAUUACAGAGUGUAUAUGUAAAGACGUAGAACCACAGCAUGAGGGCAGAGCCCCCAUGCCACAGAACUACGGAGGGUGCACAGGUGUGAGUGGAUGUGUGAACAGAGCGUGCACGUGCCCCCGUUUGAGGGCCAGCAACAACUCAUGUUGACAAUUCGGUAAUGAUCCUUCCGCAGGUUCACCUACGGAAA
rnacentral:misc_RNA from 1 species